rnacentral:lncRNA from 1 species
UAUAUAUAUAUAUAUAUAGGGGCCAUAAAAUCAUGCAAGAGAAACACCGAAUCAACACAUAAGAAAACGACUUAUAGCCUAUGGUUCCUUGCACGCUUCAUUAGAGACACAAGCUUACUCUAUUUGAUGCUCCUGUUGACACAUAAAAAUUCAGCCCAAGUCGAACAGCUCAAGAAGUAAAUCCCAAUUGGUGAAUCCCCAAAUCGGAUGGCCCAAAGAACGAAGUCCAAUCAAACGAGUCAAGGUGAAGGCCCAAACAAGGGGCCCAAGAAUGCGGUAACGCCAUCGCCCAAGUUUGCAAGUCGCCCAGAAUCUGAACAAAUGGAGUGUCAUACGGUCGCCCAGAGCUGUUAUUUUACUCUCGCCCAAACCUUCAAGUCGCCCAAGGUAUCAACAAACAUAACGCAUCGUGAUUAUCAAGGAAUGCAGUUAUCAAGGCAGUUGUUAAAGUAGCCUUAUCACGUUCCACGACUCAAGGAAUUCAAUCGAAAGCGGUUGAACGAUGAAAGAUAAUGGCAGCAGUUAAGAGGCAGUUUCAUGACAAAAUGGUCACUACAAAGAAAGUGGGUAGUUAUAGGACGAUUAAGCAGUUUUCAGAGUAGUUAAUCACAAAGAGAUCGUCUAUGAGGUAUAAAAGGGAGAAAGGACGCAGAAGCAAAGGACCGAAUCCAAAACUCUCGAACAGAGAAUAUGUAAUUUUCAUUUCCUUAACUUUUAGACUUAAACAUCUUUCUUUCUGUAACUCGUGUGCUUGCGCCCCUUGGAGGCACGUUGUUUUUCAUUCCCAAUUGUAAAGUUCACCGCCAAUAAAAGAACACCCCUUUUUGGGACUUUGUCUCAAUAAGUUUCGUCCUUUACACAAUCGUCUGACCCUUUUUAAUUGUUAGCGACUUAACCCGCGCGAAACAGAUCCAAAGGUUUCUUCAAGAGAAGAUGAAAAUCGUCACACAGAGCUUUAACUUGUCCCAUCAUAUAAAGUAAAAGUCGAAUUAAUUGGGCAGAUCACAACAUGGCGAAGGUGGGAAACGAUGUUCAAAUGAAAAUAAUAAUAACAGAAACAGCAACAAAAACAUUACUUGCAAAAGAAGAACAAAAAAAAGAUAAGAGACAGUCAUGCCUCUUCUGUCGUCAAUAUAUGAUCCUUAAAGCAUAAAUAUGAAUCCCCAAAGGAUUCAGAAGUAUUUAAAAGAAGCUUCUCAAGUAAAUAGUUAGACCAAACAAAGUCUGCUUCCUCAAAGUUGUGUUUCC